UACGUAGGGGGCAAGCGUUGUUCGGAAUUACUGGGCGUAAAGGGCUCGUAGGCGGCCAACUAAGUCGGACGUGAAAUCCCUCGGCUUAACCGGGGAACUGCGUCCGAUACUGGAUGGCUUGAGUUCGGGAGAGGGAUGCGGAAUCCUGGUGUAGCGGUGGAAUGCGCAGAUAGUCAGGAAGAACACCAGUGGCGAAGGCGGCUCACUGGCCCGAUGACUGACGCUGAGGCACGAAAGCGUGGGGAGCAAACAGG
rnacentral:rRNA from 1 species